CUGCAAAAAAUUGACCAUAGCUCACUGGACCCAUUUACACUGUCUGAUUAUAUAUAUGGAGAUCUUCCAGACCCACGGAUCUAACCCGGAUCUCCUGCAUUGUAGGUGGAUUCUUUACCAUCUGAGCCACCUUGCUUUCUCCAUUAGUUCUUAAAGGAGGUAAUAUAGUGCUGAAUUUUCACAUUCCUUCUUUACUCCUGUAAAUUUUUGAUUAUGGAUGUUGAAGCUAUGUUAUCACUUGCCUACGAUGUUACAUCAUCCUGGCAUAUUGACCUUUUCAUUUGGAUGUUGUGACCAUUUAAAUCUUCAGUAAGUUUUAUUACCUUAAUAUCUAUUGUGCUUGAUGCUAAUAGAGUUAUACCAACAUU